AUCCGACUGACGAGUUCCAAAUAGGACGAAACGCGCGUCCUGAAU
rnacentral:hammerhead_ribozyme from 1 species